GUGAACAAGGGGACAACGGAUUUAUGGAAACUACCUUUUUUUUUUCUCCUGGAGGUGCUGACCUCUGGUUGGUGUUUCAGAGACUAUUAAAAAUAGCUACCUUCCUUGGACUCUCCAACAAUGGUUCAUAAACUUCCUGGGAUCUGUAACCCUCUUGUUGAAAAUUACUGGUUUGCAUAAAGAGGCAGAGCUGGUUGCUGCUUCAUUGCUUUUCCUGCCACUAGUGGAUGAUUCUGCUGUUCCUGUGUUUAAGAAAGACCUCUCCCUUAAGUGAGACCAUGAGCAAUGACCACACUUCAGAAAAGCAGGAGAUCCUCACAUACUGUGGAAAAAUACAAGAGUGUCAAUAAUGGAUCUGAACAUGAUCUGCCAGCAAGCUGGAUGAAUUGUGUGAUUGUCACAUCCACUGAAUGUUCUGGAGCAUCCCUGACAAGGCUUCCUUAUGCCAUGCUCGUGAAGUAGUGAUAUUCUGCUAUUGCAUUUCACAGGAGAAGGCACAGAGACAAUCAGUAGGUCUCCCGACAUGGCAAGAAAUUGGAGUCAAGUGUCCCAAACUAGAGGGCCCUGUCUCCUCAGUUGCACCAGCACUGUGGUUUCUGGCAUUGUUCUGCAGAGGCAAUCACCACAAAAAUCUGGAUGAACAAACUUCUCAUGUAUAUGGCAGGGCAACCUCAGAAAGUGGUGUGCACAGCAGCUGGUAUUGCUGUCUUGGCUGUCUUGGCCAUGAAGAUCAUGCUCCAGCCUGGCUGCAGCUCCUAAGGGAAGCAGAGGUGACCUCUUGUGACUUUCAGUGUCCUUUCCUUCUGCUCCCCGCUCCAUACCUUUUGAACCCAUAUGGCAGUUUAUGUCUAAAUUGAAACAAGCAUAGAUAACUCAAAGACAUUUACAUUUCUUGGGGUUCUGACAAAAUUAAUGACUGGGUAGAGGUGAAAGAUCCAUGUUUAUGCUACCGGAAAGAUCAGCAAGUCAAGCUCCUGUGAAGCUCUGAACUGACCACAGCCCAUCCUGUAUCCUGUGUGGUGGGGGCCCUGAGUGGCCUUGGAGAGACAGAAGAUGAAGUUUCUGUAAAGGUGAAGCUGUGGGAUAUGUUCUUCAUGGGACAAUAGACUUCAUGUCUUUCACUGCUCAUAAAUCAUUUGGUUACCAUCACCUAACUGAUUGCCAAUAAAUUUGUUAAUUUA
rnacentral:lncRNA from 1 species